AAAGACUUUCCCUGUCUAUUGACUUGCAAAAGACUUUUCCACGAUUCCGGCGCAAAACUGCUGAUACCCAAUACAGUAAACAUUUUCUCUUGCCAUAUGUGAAAAAAAUUAGAGAUGGCAGGCUAUCCGAUAUCGUCAAACGGCAAUUUGUUUCCGCGGUUGGAAAAAAUAAUUGGAUCAACGUAUUACCAAUAAUAAUUAUUGAAUCAAUUAUUAUCACUAUUUUUAAGUUAGAGGAAAUCAAUAUUGUUUGGAAUAAAAUAAUAAUUUUUUUUAUUGGAUCUAAUCUCAAUAAUAUAAAUUUCGCGCAACAACAAUAAUAUAAUUGAUCCAACGCCUGCCGGUUGUCGUUAUACAUAGGAUGUCAGGCUAUCCUGUUUUCAAAUAGGAACAUCCUAAUAAUAAUAAUAAUAAUAAUAAUAAUAAUAAUAAUAAUAAUAAUAAUAAUUAUAGCGAUAAGGUGGAAUAAUUCGGACCCAUUAGUAAAAGGGUGAAAUAAGAAAAAGACAAAGUAAUUGAGCAAAAUGCAUCGUUUUUUUGAAUUCUUGACAUUUCUAACUUUAUUUUAUGUCAUUUGUGUCAGCUGAAAAAUGAUCCGUGAUGAAAAUAUUUUCGUUUGGUCCGAUAUGUUCCACCAUUUGAUAUACGCGUGCAACCGCUUUACGGAAGGAUUUACACCAUUGUUAUUGAAUAUUUUUGUUCAUUUAUCCUUUUGCAAUUUUAACUCAAAGACGAUUUUUUUUGGUGGUAGGUAUAUUAUUUUAAAUUUUUAAGGUAGCCUGAAAAACCCAGCAAACUUCUUGAAGGGUCGUUUGAGAACAACUUGCACUAGAAAACGAAAAAUGGUUAUUAGUAUGCUGCAACAUAAAUCCUGAAAUUCCGAUCUUCUGUAGAAAUUUGAACGUUGCGAGGAUGUGAGAUGAAAUAUUUAAGUUAUGUACUAACUUUUCUCUUAAGUUUUAUCAAAUAAGGAUUAAAAUUUGCCCAAAAUUUGGAAUAAAAAAGUUACAUUAGUCCGACAUGUUCCACCAUUUGAUAUCCAUUGUUUAUAUACGCCAUGUUGUCAUUUAAGCGUCUUGUCGGAAUGAUUGUUUUAGUAUGGCGUGCCAACAAUUUAUGAAUUUGUAACUUUGAUCCCGCAAAAAUUGUAGCAAUCAUUUACUAUGUUGUUCCCGAAGAGAAGAUGUGCAUGAGAUAUUACUCUAUUUAGUGUAUUUGUUUUUGCUGUUUGUUAUUGUUAAUUUUUAUUAGCUAUCACAUUUUCUGCUUAUUGUGAUUUUCUAAGAGUAGCUUCUAGUUUGUUUUGACUGAAGAAUGUAUAAAUGUCAACUAUCAUUUUAGAUUAGUAGGGGCUAGCAAGGGCUAGCAUAUUGCUAGCUAGCUAGCUAGUUAUUGUUGUAUACAUUUGAAAGAAAGUAAGAUAGCUAUGCAUGGUUGAUUUGUCGGUAGCAUGCAAAUUGUUGCACUAUAACUAAAUGUCUUAAAUAAUGUGUAGCAUAUACCAUCUUAAUUAUGUGAUUAUAUUAUAUUAAAAAACAGAGGCAAGAAUCUAGCAACUUGCUCACCACAUAUUUUUAUGGUUUUUAUUAUAAGCAAUCCUCUAAAAGAACUUCAAAAAAUGCAGGUGAACAAGGAAGAUGUCUAAAAAAUCGAAAUUAUCUCGUACAUCAAGCCAUCAAAAUUAACUCAACUGCGACUUAUAAAUAUUUCUGCACGGUUGUAUAGACUAAAACUUUAACAUGGGUAAGAACUUGCACCUAAUAAACAAGAAAAUAAAGCAAGAAAGUAUCGAAAAUACGAUUAUUGGAAGCAUCUAGAUCCUGCUUAACGAAGGAAGAAGUGUCAUUUUACCAAUGUUAGAUUGUGUUAAAAUUUAACUGUUAUAAAACAAGAACUGAGAUUGACUGAUCGAGAACAAUUGAUAGAAGUAUAGCAGUAAUAUCGGAUCUUUAAAUAUAUAAUCACACUGUCCGUCCUUUUGUUUACAUAACUUACUAAAAUAUUGUGAAUAUAUAUAUAAUAUAUAUAUUUGUAUGUAUUGGGUUUUAUUAUCAGCACACGCUAUGAAAGCAGUAAAUUAAUACUGAACUGUAAAUCAUUUACCCUAAUAUUCACUAUAAACCCUUA